rnacentral:rRNA from 1 species
UACGGAGGAGGCAAGCGUUAUCCGGAAUUAUUGGGCGUAAAGCGUCCGUAGGUGGUUUAGUAAGUCUGCUGUUAAAGCGCGGGGCUUAACUCCGUAUCGGCAGUGGAAACUACUAGACUAGAGUGUGGUAGGGGUAGAGGGAAUUCCCAGUGUAGCGGUGAAAUGCGUAGAUAUUGGGAAGAACACCGGCGGCGAAGGCGCUCUACUGGGCCAUAACUGACACUGAUGGACGAAAGCUAGGGGAGCGAAAGGG